rnacentral:rRNA from 1 species
GAUGAACGCUGGCGGCGUGCCUAAUACAUGCAAGUCGAGCGAACGGACGAGAAGCUUGCUUCUCUGAUGUUAGCGGCGGACGGGUGAGUAACACGUGGAUAACCUACCUAUAAGACUGGGAUAACUUCGGGAAACCGGAGCUAAUACCGGAUGAUAUUUUGAACCGCAUGGUUCAAAAGUGAAAGACGGUCUUGCUGUCACUUAUAGAUGGAUCCGCGCUGCAUUAGCUAGUUGGUAAGGUAACGGCUUACCAAGGCAACGAUGCAUAGCCGACCUGAGAGGGUGAUCGGCCACACUGGAACUGAGACACGGUCCAGACUCCUAAGGGAGGCAGCAGUAGGGAGUCUUCCGCAAUGGGCGAAAGCCUGACGGAGCAACGCCGCGUGAGUGAUGAAGGUCUUCGGAUCGUAAAACUCUGUUAUUAGGGAAGAACAUAUGUGUAAGUAACUGUGCACAUCUUGACGGUACCUAAUCAGAAAGCCACGGCUAACUACGUG